GACUCUGAGUGGUGGAUCACUCGGCACGUGCAUCAUUGAAGAAUGCAGCUAGCAGUGAGAACUAAUGUGAAUUGCAGGACACAUUGAUCAUCGACAUUUCGAACGCACUUUGUGGCCCCGGGUUACUCCUGGGGCUAUGCCUGUCUGAGGCUCG